AUUUAUCUAAUAUAUAAAGUAUAUCUGACUUCCAAUCAGAAAGUUUGUUAGACAAGAUAAGUA
rnacentral:tRNA from 1 species